rnacentral:rRNA from 1 species
UACGUAGGUGGCAAGCGUUGUCCGGAUUUAUUGGGUUUAAAGGGUGCGUAGGCGGUUCCAUAAGUCAGUGGUGAAAUACGGCAGCUCAACUGUCGAGGUGCCAUUGAUACUGCGGAACUUGAGUACUGAUGAGGUAGGCGGAAUUGACGGUGUAGCGGUGAAAUGUUUAGAUAUCGUCAAGAACACCGAUAGCGAAGGCAGCUUACCAAGCAGUAACUGACGCUGAGGCACGAAAGUGCGGGGAUCAAACAGG